ACCCAAUCCUGACACAGGGAGGUAGUGACAAUAUAUAACGAUACAGGGCCUUUGGUCUUGUAAUUGGAAUGAGUACAAUGUAAAUACCUUAACGAGGAACAAUUGGAGGGCAAGUCUGGUGCCAGCAGCCGCGGUAAUUCCAGCUCCAAUAGCGUAUAUUAAAGUUGUUGCAGUUAAAAAGCUCGUAGUUGAACUUUGGGCCUGGGCGGACGGUCUACCUAUGGUAAGCACUGUUGCGGCCGGGUCUUUCCUUCUGGCUAGCCCUCGGGCGAACCAGGACGAUUACUUUGAGGAAAUUAGAGUGUUCAAAGCAGGCCUUUGCUCGGAUAUAUUAGCAUGGAAUAAUAGAAUAGGACGCAUGGUUCCAUUUUGUUGGUUUCUAGGACCAUCGUAAUGA
rnacentral:ncRNA from 1 species